CCCAAUUAAACCAAUCCCUUAGCUCAUUAACUCAAAAGCCCAAACCUAGACACCCAUUUAAGAUAAUAUACAAGAAAAAUAAAAAAACCUAGACCUAGAGGGAGGGGUUCAGCCGUAUUUCACAUGGAGAAGACCUUCAUCGUCUUCAACGGAUUACACAAAACAAGGAGCAGACCUUCAUCUUGUUCUCCAGGACAAACCAUGAGAACAACCCCAUGAGAUCUUAAUCUUGAACACAAGACAAAAAUAUACAAAAAACCCUAAGAGAACAGUCAGCUGCCGCAUCAACCUUCACCCGCCGGCGACCACUCCACACACAUCUAUGACCAGCUAACUCCUCCAGCUCCAGCCGUCAGCGACCCCUUCAACACCGGCAAACUGACCCCCCUCUCUUCGGGCUGACACGAACGACCCCUCGCCUCAUUUUCUUGAAGCUAACACACACAAGAGCACUCCAAUCCCAACUGUUUCAAGAUCUCAAACAUUCAGGUUCCAUUGCCGGCAAGCUUCGCCGGGAACCGGCGGAAACUAACACGAAAAUCCCCCAAAAAUCAGCUCGAAAACUAUCCUUUUUUCAUCUCAAAACGGAACUAAAAAUCAGUCGACCCACAACCAUCGACCCCUCGAUUUUUUUCUCCUACGUACCAGCUGACACUCACACGAAAAGGUCACUGUUUGUUCAGCUCUGAAAUCUUACAUUGAAGUUGUGCUCGAAGUCGAGCUUCACCGGAAACCGGUUAGCUCAUCGUCUUUCAGUCGAGUCUAUCAAUUCUAACUGAGUUUCUGGCCGAUUUUGUUGCUGCUCGUAGAGUUUGCUCAUUUUAGGUUGUCGGUUUGAGUUUCGCUCGUGGUUUCGGAUUCGUCUCAUUGUUGUCUCCUUCAUUCGGAUUUACACUUUGGCAAAGUUGUUUCAAUUUUCGGGUACUAAAAAACACUUUCUUAACAGGGGUGCUACAUCUUCAAAUGGGUGUAGGUGGUUCCAUAGCAGACAGUGUUAAUUGUAGCUAGUGGUGCAUCCUCUUCUCAGCAGUCUUGGUGAGCCCCAUUUCAUCCCGAAGUCAUAUGUUGUAUCUUUUGUUCAUAUUGUUACCCCUUUUUGAGGUACAGCCGGGGCCUUGUCGCCGGCAUUAUCAUAACUAUGUUUUGUAUAUUUAGAGAUUCUGUAGACAUUAUGUGGGUUGUGUAUGGGUUCUAGAAAGGUCAGACAGAUUUUGUUGUGUUUUGGACUCUUGUUUCACUAAAUCAUAAGGUGUAUAUAUUUUCGGAACUCAACUAUGAUGUAGCAAAAUGAAAUGAGAUGAAUUAGCAAUGUUUAUA